rnacentral:lncRNA from 1 species
UUGUUCUUGUCAGGUCUUUUUUUUUUUUUUUUCUUCUCUCCCACAGUAGUGAAAAGAACCAACUGAAACAACAGGUUAUGAAAUCUUCUCUACUUUUUCCCAAUUAUCUGCAAAGGCCCUGGAUGAGUCAGCUUUGUGACAGAAAUAAGCUCAUUGAGAUCCAAAUGUCUCUGUUGGGCUCAAGGUGUGGAAGGGCUCUCCUCCUGGUCCUUGGCUCCUCAGCUGUGGUCCUGUGGUGAGCCAGCACAUGGUCACAGGAGAACAUGGAGGAUCCUUGAAGCAGAAGGAGGGGUGGAGCUCCACUCUCCCCUUCCAGGCCACGCCUCCAUGACCUCACUUCCACCCAGUAGACUCCACCUCUUAAAGGCUCCCUAACGUCCUAAUAGACCAUCAGCUGGGAACCAGGCCUUUCACCCACAGCUUAUUGGGGGGACACACCAAAUCCAAACCACAGCAGCACCAAUCCAUUUCUCACUGGCUGGGAGUACAAAAGUAGGCAGGAGGCCAUUUGCUGACCCUCCUAUCACAGACGUCAGGUAUACAUUAGGCAAUGUGCAAAAAAAAAAAAAAAAAAGAACUAAACAAAUAUGUUUAAUGAGAGCAAAACUAUGAAUGUUUCUGAAACUCGUUUGUAAAUUUUUGCCCUCUUAAUGGAAAGAGAAUGAUCUUUGUUUUCUGUGGUCCGUGGGGGGAUGUCCUUUGACAAGAUAUUUUUCUCUUUCCAAGGCAGGGAUUUCUCAAUCAUCUCAGGGGCCCUUCAUGUCUUAUAGAUUAUUUUUGGGCAUGAUAUAUAUGUUAUUGUUUAGCUUAAAAUCUGCCAUUUGCAAGGGAGUUGGGUAGGAAGUAGAUCAAAAAUUCAGAACUCUGUGUAUUG